rnacentral:ncRNA from 1 species
GACAGGGGAGCGCCGCCUCGGCGCUGAGAGUGCGAAAGCAGACCCUCGAACCUGAUCCGGGUUAUACCGGCGCUAGGGAGUCG